rnacentral:rRNA from 1 species
GACGAACGCUGGCGGCGUGCUUAACACAUGCAAGUCGAACGGUGAAGCUCCAGCUUGCUGGAGUGGAUCAGUGGCGAACGGGUGAGUAACACGUGAGCAACCUGCCCCUGACUCUGGAAUAAGCGCUGGAAACGGCGUCUAAUACUGGAUACGAGAAGGGUCCGCAUGGGCACUUUCUGGAAAGUUUUUCGGUUGGGGAUGGGCUCGCGGCCUAUCAGCUUGUUGGUGAGGUAAUGGCUCACCAAGGCGACGACGGGUAGCCGGCCUGAGAGGGCGACCGGCCACACUGGGACUGAGACACGGCCCAGACUCCUACGGGAGGCAGCAGUGGGGAAAAUUGCACAAUGGGCGAAAGCCUGAUGCAGCGACGCCGCGUGAGGGAUGACGGCCUUCGGGUUGUAAACCUCUUUCAGCAGGGAAGAAGCGAAAGUGACGGUACCUGCAGAAGAAGCACCGGCUAACUACGUG